rnacentral:rRNA from 1 species
AUUGAACGCUGGCGGCAUGCCUUACACAUGCAAGUCGAACGGCAGCACGGGUACUUGCACCUGGUGGCGAGUGGCGAACGGGUGAGUAAUACAUCGGAACAUGUCCUGUAGUGGGGGAUAGCCCGGCGAAAGCCGGAUUAAUACCGCAUACGAUCUACGGAUGAAAGCGGGGGACCUUCGGGCCUCGCGCUAUAGGGUUGGCCGAUGGCUGAUUAGCUAGUUGGUGGGGUAAAGGCCUACCAAGGCGACGAUCAGUAGCUGGUCUGAGAGGACGACCAGCCACACUGGGACUGAGACACGGCCCAGACUCCUACGGGAGGCAGCAGUGGGGAAUUUUGGACAAUGGGCGAAAGCCUGAUCCAGCAAUGCCGCGUGUGUGAAGAAGGCCUUCGGGUUGUAAAGCACUUUUGUCCGGAAAGAAAUCCUUGGCCCUAAUACGGUCGGGGGAUGACGGUACCGGAAGAAUAAGCACCGGCUAACUACGUG